AAAGGAAUAGACGGGGACUCGCACAAGCGGUGGAUCAUGAGGUUUAAUUCGACACAAAACGAAGAACCUUACCAGGGCUUGAAAUGCUAGUGAAGGUUGUCCGAAAGGAUGACCGUCUUUUCAAGGACGCUAGCACAGGUGCUGCAUGGUUAUCGUCAGCUCGUGGCUUGAGUUGUUCCCUUAAGUGGGGUAACGAGCGCAACCCUUAUUGCAUGUUAAAUCUGUCAUGCAAAACUGCCCCCGCUUAAGUUUUCAAGAUUAUUUUUUGAAAAUUUAAGCGGGGGAGGAAGGAGGGGAUGACGUUAAAUCAGCAUGGCCUUCUGAUGUCCUGGGCUACACUCAUGAUACAAUGGUCGGUACAAAGAGUUGCCAAGCCGUAAGGCGGAGCUAAUCUCAAAAAACCGGCCCCAGUUCAGAUUGAGGGCUGCAAUUCGCCCUCAUGAAGCCGGAAUCGCUAGUAAUCGCGGAUCAGCUAUGCCGUGGUGAAUACGUUCUCGAGUCCUGUACACACCGCCCGU
rnacentral:rRNA from 1 species